ACACGACUACAUUAGAUACCCCUGUAGUCCUAGCCGUAAACGAUACUCGCUAGGUGUCGGCCACGGUGCGACCGUUGUCGGUGCCGUAGGGAAGCCGUGAAGCGAGCCACCUGGGAAGUACGGCCGCAAGGCUGAAACUUAAAGGAAUUGGCGGGGAGCACCACAAGAGGUGGAGGCUGCGGUUCAAUUGGACUCAACGCCGGAAACUCAUCGGGAGCGACAGCAGUAUGAUUGCCAGGUUGAUGACCUUGCUUGACAAGCUG
rnacentral:rRNA from 1 species